GACGAACGCUGGCGGCGCGCUUAACACAUGCAAGUCGAACGGAGUGUUUUAAGUUCUUCGGAACAUGAAUCACUUAGUGGCGAACGGGUGAGUAACACGUAGACAACCUACCCUUGAGAUGGGGACAACAUUCCGAAAGGAGUGCUAAUACCGAAUGAAGCCAACUGGUCGCAUGACUGGUUGAUGAAAAGUGGCCUCUAUUUAUAAGCUAUCGCUCAAGGAAGGGUCUGCGCCUGAUUAGCUAGUUGGAGGGGUAACGGCCUACCAAGGCGACGAUCUUUAGCUGGUCUGAGAGGAUGAUCAGCCAGACUGGGACUGAGAACGGCCCAGACUCCUACGGGAGGCAGCAGUAGGGAAUUUUCCACAAUGGACGAAAGUCUGAUGGAGCAACGCCGCGUGCAGGAUGAAGGCUUUCGGGUCGUAAACUGCUUUUAUAUGUGAAGAUUAUGACGGUAGCAUAUGAAUAAGGAUCGGCUAACUCCGUGCCAGCAGCCGCCGUAA
rnacentral:rRNA from 1 species